GGGAAAAUUAGUAUAUAUUAAAUUAAUAAAAAUAAUUUUAAUAAAAUAAAAUAUUAUAAUGGGGGUUAAAGUAUUUUAUAAAGAAAAAAUUAUUUAAUUUAUAAAAAAUUAGUAUUGUGAGAGAAAUUUGAAAUAAUUUUGAAAAUAAAUUAAUUAAAAAGUAAAUUUUAAUUAUUGUAUCUUGUGUAUCAGAGUUUAUUAAUUAAAUUUUUUUAUUGAAAAAAAAAUUCUCGAAUUUAAAAGAGUUAAUUAAUUAUAAAAUUUAUUGUAGCAAAAAUAUUUUUAAUAGUUAAUUAGAAAUGAAAUGUUAAUCGUUUUUAAAUAUAUCUAGUUUUUUCAGAAAAAAAUUUAAUUUUAAAUUAAUUUAAUUAAAAAAUUCAUUAAUAAAUUUUUUAAAAAUUAAAUUUAAUAUUUUAAGGGAUAAGCUUUAAUUUAAAUUUUUAUAAAUAAUAAAAAUAAUUGAAAAUUUUAAAAUUUAUAUUGUUUAAAAAUUAUAAUUUUUUAUAAAUAAUUUCAUUAAAAAUAAAAUUUAAUAAUUAAUUUUAAAUUUUUAUGAAAAAAUAAAAUUUAAUAAUAAAAAUUUUAGUUAUAAUGAUAAAAUUAGUAUAUAAUAUAGUGUAUAUGUUUAAUAUAUGUGUAUAUUAAAUUAAAUAUUAUGUUAAUUUAUUAUAUAAAUUAAUUAUAAGGAAUUCGGCAAAAUUUUAUAUUCACUUGUUUAUCAAAAACAUGUCUUUUUGAAAUAAUUUAAAGUCUAAUCUGCCCACUGAUGAAAAUUAAAGGGCUGCAGUAUUUUGACUGUACAAAGGUAGCAUAAUCAUUAGUCUCUUAAUUGGUGACUUGUAUGAAGGAUUGGAUGAGAUAUAAGCUGUCUUAUUUUUAUUAAAUAGAAUUUAAUUUUUUAAUUAAAAAGUUAAAAUAUUUUUAAAAGACGAGAAGACCCUAUAGAGUUUAAUAUUUAUAUUAAUUAUAAAUUUUUUUAUUAAUAUGAAUUAAAUUUAAAUUAAUAUAAAUAUUUUGUUGGGGUGAUAGAAAAAUAAAACUAACUUUUUUUAAAUUUAUAUAUAUAUAUAUAUAUAUAUAUAUAUAUUAAACAUGAAUAUAUGAAUAAAUGAUCCAUAAAUUAUGAUUAAAAGAUUAAAUUACCUUAGGGAUAACAGCGUAAUUUUUUUUUUUAGUUCAAAUAAAAAAAAAAGUUUGCGACCUCGAUGUUGGAUUAAGAUAAAAUUUAAAUGCAAAAGUUUAAAAUUUUGAUCUGUUCGAUCAUUAAAAUCUUACAUGAUCUGAGUUCAAACCGGUGUAAGCCAGGUUGGUUUCUAUCUUUAGAAAAAUAAAAUAUUUUAGUACGAAAGGAUUAAAUAUUUGAAAUAAUUUUUGUUAAAAGAAUUUUAUUAAAUUUUGUUAAAAUUUGA
rnacentral:rRNA from 15 species